AUACAAUUCUAAGGAAUUUUAUGGUGGGAUAUCGAGGAUGAACACACAUAGAGGUUCUUGUGGACAAUAUGAAAAAAAUGAAACUGAUCUGAAAUCUGGUCAGUUCAAGGUAUUAUAUAAGGAGAGCCUUGUCUACAAUAAGGGC